CUCAAGUUUUCCACUGAUUUUCCUCUUUGUGUCUCCAUCCAAUGUUUAUUUUUUCCACAAACAACUAGGUAUGACUGAUAUUGUUUCCCUGUUUCUCUCCCAUUCCUUUAUAGAUAAGACCCUCUCCCUGUCCCUGAAAUGAACAGUGCACCCAAAGCAAGAUUGAAGCUAGGCUCUAGCUGCACUUCUGCCAUUCAUUGGAUGUGCAAACUUCUGCAAAAUACUGAUUUUAUUCUUUGUCUGCAAAAGCUAGUUAAGCACUCUAUUGCCUCUGGACUUCCUGUUGGCUGCCCAUCAGCACCCCGACCUCUCCAGACCUGAGGCUUUUCUCUGUUGGCUCGGCACUUCUUCCUGCCGCCAUGUGAAGAAAGAUGUGUUUGCUUCCCAUUCUGCCAUGAUGGUAAGUUUCCUGAGGCCUCUCCAGGCAUGUGGAACUGUGAGUCAAUUAAACAUGUUUCCUUUAUAAAUUACACAGUCUUGGGCAUGUGUUUAUUAGCAGUAUGAGAAUGGACUAAUACAGUUAAAUUGGUACUGGGUAGUGGGGUGCUGCUCUAAAUAUACUCAAAAAUGUGUAAGGUGUAAGCAACUUUGGAACUGGGUGACAGGCAGAGGUUGGAACACUUUGGAGAGCUCAGAAGAAGAUAGGAAAAUGUGGCAAAGUUGGGAACUUCCUAGAGACUUGGAGGGCUCAGAAGACACGAAGGUGUGGGAAAGUUUGCAACUUCCUAGAGACUUGUUGAAUGGCUUUGACCAAAAUGCUGAUAGUGAUAUGGAAAAUGAAGUCCGGGCUGAGAUGGUCUCAGAUGGAGGUGAGGAAUUUGUUGGGAACUGUAAUAAAGGUGACACUUGCUAUGUUCUAGCAAAGAGACUGAUGGCAUUUUGCCUCUGCCCUAGAGAUCUGUGGAACUUUGAAAUUGAGAGACAUGAUUUAGGGUAUCUGGCAGAAGAAAUUUCUAAGCAGCAAAGCAUUCAAGAGAUGACUUGGGUCUUGUUAAAAGCAUGCAGUUUUACGUAUUCACAAAGAGAUGGUUUGGAAUUGGAACUUAUGUUUGAAAGAGAAGCAGAGCAUAAAAGUUCAGAACAUUUGCAGCCUGAUGCAAUAGAAAAAAAAUUUUCUGAGGAGAAAUUCAACUCAACAGCAUAAACUUGUCUAAGUAAUGGGGAGCCAAAUGUUAAUCACCAAGACAAUGGGGAAAAUGUAUCCAGGGCCUGUCAGUGGUUUUCAUAGAAGCCCCUCCCAUCACAAGCCUAGAGGCCUGAGAAGCAAAAUAUGGUUUUGUUGAGUGGGCCCAGGGCCUUGCUGCUUUGUGCAGUCUCAGGACUUGGUCCCCUGCAUUCCAGCCAUGGCUAAAAAGGGCCAAGGUACAGCUCGGGCCAUGUCUUCAGAGAGUGCAAGCCUUGAGCCUUCACAGCUUCCAUGUAGUGUUGAGCCUGUGGGUGCAAAGAAGUCUAGAAUUUAGGUUAAGGAACCUCCACCUAGAUUUCAGAGGAUGUAUGGAAAUGCCUGGAUGUCCAGGCAGAAGUUUGCUACAGGGCUGGAGCCCUCAUGGAAAACCUUUGCUAGGGCAGUGUGGAAGGGAAAUGUGGGUUGGAGCCCCCACACAGAGUCCCCACUGGUGCACAGCCUAGUGGAGCUGUGAGAAGAGGGCCACCUUCCUCCAGGCUCCAGAAUGGUAGAUCCACUGACAGUUUACACCAUGCACCUGGCAAAACCUCAGGGACUCAAUGCCAGCCCAUGAAGACACCCAGGAGUGGGGUUGUACCCUGCAAAGCCACAGAGAUGGAGCUGCCCAAGGCCAUGGGAGCCCACAUCUUGCAUCAGCAUGACUUGGAUGUGAGACAUGGUGUCAAAGGAGAUCAUUUUGGAGCUUCAAUAUUUGACUGCCCCACUGGAUUUUGGACUUCCAUGGUGCCUGUAACCCCUUUACUUUGGCCACUGUCUCCCAUUUGGAGUGGGAGUAUUUACCCAAUGCCUGUACUUCCAUUGUAUCUAGGAGGUAAGUAACUUGCUUUUGAUUUUACAGGCUGACAGUCAAAAGGGAUUUGCCUUGUCUCUGAUUGGACUUUGGACUUGUACUUUUGGUUUAAUGCUAGAAUCAGUUAAGACUUUGGGAGACUGUUGGGAAGGCAUGAUUAUGUUUAGCAAUAUGAAGGCAUGAGAUUUGGGAAAGGUCAGGGAUGAAAUUAUAUGAUUAGGCUUUGUGUCCCCACCCAAAUCACAUCUUAAAUUGUAGCGCCCAUAAUCCCCACAUGUCAUGGGAGGGACCUGGUCAGAGGUAAUUGAAAUCAUGGGGACACAUACACCCAUGCUGCUGUUCUUGUGAUAGUGAGUGAGUUCUCACAAAAUAUGAUGGUUUUAUAAGGGGCUUCUCCCUCUUUGCUUGGCACUUCUUUUUCCUGCUCCCGCGUGAAGAAGGACGUGUUUGCUUCCCUUUCCUCCAUAAUUAUGUUUGCUGAGGCCUCCCCAGCCAUGCAGAACUGUGAGUGAAUUAAACUUCCUUCCUUUAUAAAUUACCCAGGGUCAGGUAUGUUUUUACUAGCAGCAUGAAAGCAGACUAAUACAGUACAUAUGCUACAGGUGUUGAUUUUGCACCAGUUGGUCAGAUUUGGAGACACUACUGCAUGUCUGGCAUUGUGCUUGGAGGUGUAAUACAAAGAUAAGGAUGGCCCUGCUCCUCUGGCUCAAUGUGAACAUAAAUAACUAAAUAUAAAACAAUGUGCAGCCGGGCGCGGUGGCUCACGCCUGUAAUCCCAGCACUUUGGGAGGCCGAGGCGGGCGGAUCACGAGGUCAGGAGAUCGAGACCAUCCUGGCUAACACGGUGAAACCCCGUCUCUACUAAAAAUACAAAAAAUUAGCCGGGCGUGGUAGCGGGCGCCUGUAGUCCCAGCUACUCGGGAGGCUGAGGCAGGAGAAUGGCGUGAACCCGGGAGGCGGAGCUUGCAGUGAGCCGAGAUCACGCCACUGCACUCCAGCCUGGGCGACAGAGCGAGACUCCGUCUCAAAAAAAAAAACAAAAAAAAAAAAAAA